rnacentral:rRNA from 1 species
UUCGGAUUGUAGUCUGCAACCCGACUACAUGAAGCUGGAAUCGCUAGUAAUCNCGGAUCAGAAUGCCGCGGUGAAUACGUUCCCGGGUCUUGUACAUACCGCCCGUCACACCAUGGGAGUCGGAAAUGCCCGAAGUCUGUGACCUAACCGAGAGGGAGGAGCAGCCGAAGGCGGGACCGAUAACUGGGGUGAAGUCGUAACAAGGUAGC